rnacentral:rRNA from 1 species
GGGCGUUAAGUUGCAGGGUAUAGACCCGAAACCCGGUGAUCUAGCCAUGGGCAGGUUGAAGGUUGGGUAACACUAACUGGAGGACCGAACCGACUAAUGUUGAAAAAUUAGCGGAUGACCUGUGGCUGGGGGUGAAAGGCCAAUCAAACCGGGAGAUAGCUGGUUCUCCCCGAAAGCUAUUUAGGUAGCGCCUCGUGAAUUCAUCUCCGGGGGUAGAGCACUGUUUCGGCUAGGGGGCCAUCCCGGCUUACCAACCCGAUGCAAACUGCGAAUACCGGAGAAUGUUAUCACGGGAGACACACGGCGGGUGCUAACGUCCGUCGUGAAGAGGGAAACAACCCAGACCGCCAGCUAAGGUCCCAAAGUCAUGGUUAAGUGGGAAACGAUGUGGGAAGGCCCAGACAGCCAGGAUGUUGGCUUAGAAGCAGCCAUCAUUUAAAGAAAGCGUAAUAGCUCACUGGUCGAGUCGGCCUGCGCGGAAGAUGUAACGGGGCUAAACCAUGCACCGAAGCUGCGGCAGCGAACGUAUCACCCAAGACAACUUUACGGAGUUGACGAUUGACGGAGCGAAGCGACGUCAAAGCGUUCAUUAAAGUCGAGUUGGCUUAGGGAUACGUUCNNNNNGUUGGGUAGGGGAGCGUUCUGUAAGCCUGUGAAGGUGUGUCGUGAGGCAUGCUGGAGGUAUCAGAAGUGCGAAUGCUGACAUAAGUAACGAUAAAGCGGGUGAAAAGCCCGCUCGCCGGAAGACCAAGGGUUCCUGUCCAACGUUAAUCGGGGCAGGGUGAGUCGACCCCUAAGGCGAGGCCGAAAGGCGUAGUCGAUGGGAAACGGGUUAAUAUUCCCGUACUUGGUGUUACUGCGAAGGGGGGACGGAGAAGGCUAUGUUGGCCGGGCGACGGUUGUCCCGGUUUAAGCGUGUAGGUGUGUGUUCCAGGUAAAUCCGGUUCACUUUAACACUGAGGCGUGACGACGAGGCACUACGGUGCUGAAGCAACAAAUGCCCUGCUUCCAGGAAAAGCCUCUAAGCAUCAGGUAACACGAAAUCGUACCCCAAACCGACACAGGUGGUCAGGUAGAGAAUACCAAGGCGCUUGAGAGAACUCGGGUGAAGGAACUAGGCAAAAUGGUGCCGUAACUUCGGGAGAAGGCACGCUGACACGUAGGUGAAGUGAUUUACUCAUGGAGCUGAAGUCAGUCGAAGAUACCAGCUGGCUGCAACUGUUUAUUAAAAACACAGCACUGUGCAAACACGAAAGUGGACGUAUACGGUGUGACGCCUGCCCGGUGCCGGAAGGUUAAUUGAUGGGGUCAGCGCAAGCGAAGCUCCUGAUCGAAGCCCCGGUAAACGGCGGCCGUAACUAUAACGGUCCUAAGGUAGCGAAAUUCCUUGUCGGGUAAGUUCCGACCUGCACGAAUGGCGUAAUGAUGGCCAGGCUGUCUCCACCCGAGACUCAGUGAAAUUGAACUCGCUGUGAAGAUGCAGUGUACCCGCGGCAAGACGGAAAGACCCCGUGAACCUUUACUAUAGCUUGACACUGAACAUUGAGCCUUGAUGUGUAGGAUAGGUGGGAGGCUUUGAAGUGUGGACGCCAGUCUGCAUGGAGCCGACCUUGAAAUACCACCCUUUAAUGUUUGAUGUUCUAACGUGGACCCGUAAUCCGGGUUGCGGACAGUGUCUGGUGGGUAGUUUGACUGGGGCGGUCUCCUCCUAAAGAGUAACGGAGGAGCACGAAGGUUGGCUAAUCCUGGUCGGACAUCAGGAGGUUAGUGCAAUGGCAUAAGCCAGCUUGACUGCGAGCGUGACGGCGCGAGCAGGUGCGAAAGCAGGUCAUAGUGAUCCGGUGGUUCUGAAUGGAAGGGCCAUCGCUCAACGGAUAAAAGGUACUCCGGGGAUAACAGGCUGAUACCGCCCAAGAGUUCAUAUCGACGGCGGUGUUUGGCACCUCGAUGUCGGCUCAUCACAUCCUGGGGCUGAAGUAGGUCCCAAGGGUAUGGCUGUUCGCCAUUUAAAGUGGUACGCGAGCUGGGUUUAGAACGUCGUGAGACAGUUCGGUCCCUAUCUGCCGUGGGCGCUGGAGAACUGAGGGGGGCUGCUCCUAGUACGAGAGGACCGGAGUGGACGCAUCACUGGUGUUCGGGUUGUCAUGCCAAUGGCACUGCCCGGUAGCUAAAUGCGGAAGAGAUAAGUGCUGAAAGCAUCUAAGCACGAAACUUGCCCCGAGAUGAGUUCUCCCUGAGACUUAGAGUCUCCUGAAGGAACGUUGAAGACGACGACGUUGAUAGGCCGGGUGUGUAAGCGCAGCGAUGCGUUGAGCUAACCGGUACUAAUGAACCGUGAGGCUUAACCUUACAACGCCGAAG